CUACAGAGCUGGAAGAAGAGAUGGCAGGAUAUGAGGCCAAGACAGUUUGAUUCCAAAAAUCCAAACAAUUCAGAGCUUUACUGUGCAUUGUCAGCUUCCAAAAGAUCAGCGAGUGUGUCCCAAGAAGCUGGCCCUACAUGAUCCAGACACCCAGUGGAAGAAUCUGAGAAGCUGAAGGAGGAUCCAGUGGAUCAACUGUGGGUCCAGAUGUUCCUUACAUCAGUAAGGGAUCGAACUCGGGACCUUGCACUUGCGAGGCAGGCAGUGGAACCACUGAGUUAAAUCCCCGGCCCUAUGGCAGAUAC
rnacentral:lncRNA from 1 species